rnacentral:rRNA from 1 species
AUUGAACGCUGGCGGCAGGCCUAACACAUGCAAGUCGAGCGAGUGGCGGACGGGUGAGUAAUGUAUGGGGACUGCCCGAUAGAGGGGGAUAACUACUGGAAACGGUGGCUAAUACCGCAUACUAUCGGAUAACCCAUAUGGGAUUAGCUAGUAGGUGGGGUAAAGGCUCACCUAUGCGACGAUCUCUAGCUGGUCUGAGAGAAUGAUCAGCCCCACUGGGACUGGGACACGGCCCAGACUCCAACGGGGGCAGCAGUGGGGAAUAUUGGACAAUGGGCGCAAGCCUGAUGCAGCCAUGCCGGUUGUAUGAGGAGGGCCUUCGGGUUGUAAAGUACUUUCAGUCGGGAGGCGUUACUCGCAGAGGAAGCACCGGCUAACUCCGUGCCAGCAGCCGCGGUAAUAC